UACGGAGGGUGCGAGCGUUAUCCGGAUUCACUGGGUUUAAAGGGUGCGUAGGUGGGAAUGUAAGUCAGGGGUGAAAUCCUGGAGCUCAACUCCAGAACUGCCUUUGAUACUGAGGAUCUUGAGUUCGGGAGAGGUGAGUGGAACUGCGAGUGUAGAGGUGAAAUUCGUAGAUAUCGGGAGGAACACCAGUGGCGAAGGCGGUUGCCUGGAGCUUUGCUGACGCUGAGGCGCGAAAGCGUGGGGAGCGAUCCGG
rnacentral:rRNA from 1 species